rnacentral:misc_RNA from 1 species
GCUACUACCGAUUGAAUGGUUUAGUGAGGACUCCUGAUUGGCGCCGCCGCCCCGGCAACGGAGCAGCGGACUGCCGAAAAGUUGUUCAAACUUGAUCGUUUAGAGGAAGUAAAAGUCGUAACAAGGUUUCUGUAGGUGAACCUGCAGAAGGAUCAUUGAUCCUUCUGCAGGUUCACCUACAGCUACCUUGUUACGACUUCGUCCCAAUCGCUGAUCCUACCGUGGCUUGCUGCCUCCGAAGUUAGCGCACAAUCUUCGGGUAGAACCAACUCUCAUGACGUGACGGGCGGUGUGUACUAAACGGA